UGCUGGGAGUCUUCCUGGCCGUUAUAUUUCCUCCCUCGGCCAGCUCACGCCACCGACCUGCCGCGCCGAGUCCCGUCAUCCCGUCAUCCCGUCAUUCCGUCAUUCCGGUACGCCGCGCCGCGUGAGGCUCCUGCUUUCCUUCACAGGGGCGAUUUUGGUAUUUCCACCCUUUCGCCACGACAAGUUCAUGCUUCCAGGAAUGUUCUCAGGCGGGUGUCUGCACACCUGCGAAAGCUGCUCUAGCUACAGGCCCGGAAGCGGAAUCGCCGGGGCUUGGGGUCUUCUAAGUUACUAAACCUCCCAGGCUGAACUCCAACUUGGAAUCCUCCUGACUCAGCCUCCCAGAGUGCUGGGAUGGCAGGCACGUACCACCACAGCCGGCUGAACGUAAAUGCUGAGUAGGAGAAAGCACAUCCAUUUUCCUCACCACUGCACAGGGCCUGGCACACGGUUGCGGAUCGUUGGAAGAUCAAAUCAAAUUGGCUUCAGCUACUGGAAAGUCCAGAGGUAAGAUGAGUUUGAGGGUUUGUUUUGUUUAGAGGCCAGUGGUACUAUCAGGGGCCCUAUUUUGUUCUGUUUUGUUUUUCUUUCCUCUUUUGGUUCUGUC